GACCGGGAUGGACGAACCUCUGGUGCACCAGUUGUCGCGCCAGCGGCACAGCUGGGUAGCUAAGUUCGGAAAGGAUAACCGCUGAAAGCAUCUAAGCGGGAAGCCCCUCCUGAGAUGAGGUCUCCCCGAAGACCCCUGGGAGACUACCAGGUUGAUAGGCGGGAUGUGUAAGCGCUGCGAGGCGUUGAGCUAACCCGUACUAAUCGGUCGUUCGGCUUGACC
rnacentral:rRNA from 1 species